GUCAACCUCUCCCCUCAGAACACCCAACCAGAGUGACAUGAAGUCUUGCACGGUCAAUGGAAUGCAUACGGGGGUGCGACAGCGUCAUUCGUUUCUUAUUUUAAGAGGUGCAACCUUCACACGAACAAAAAAGGGAACCUCGUGCUCGUGUUAUCACAAACACAACAAUGAAUUCCUUUUCGUCGAUUGGAUUUAUUUUCAGCUGUCAUUAACGGAUCUUGUAUGUUCGAAUUCACAGUAUCACCAGUUCAAUAGUUGUAGCUUUCAAAAUAUAUACCAUUAAACCACCAAUGCUCUUUUGUGUGUGUAUGUUUAUUUUACGUCAAGUAAUUAUCGUUUUCUUUUUCUUUUUUUCUUUUGGUCAGCCUUUUACCCAUAUUCUCUCCUAUUUGGUCAUAAAAAACUAUAAAAAAUUAGAUAAUAGACUAUAACCUCCAGGUUUGAUAUUUAUCUAUGAUGUUGUACCUGUAGAAUGUUUCUUCUUUCAGUCACCAAGGCUCGACUAAGAAGUGCCAACUUAUGAAUUCUGUAUAGAAAUCUUCUCUAACGGAAAUUUAAACCAUUCCAUCGGGGUGCUCUCAGAAAGUGAAAUAAAUCACCAUAUGACGAAAUAGAAUAUUAAACAUAAAAUCUAUAAAGUUGAUUAAUUUUUAGACCAAGUAAUUAUUCUUAAAACAUUAAUACCAUUUCAUGCAAAGACGUUUGACGCACAAUCCUAUUAAUAUUUUCCUUUUUAAAAUUAAAAAUGUAAUUUUGUGACAAACAGUGAUUUUCAACGCUGACACAGGCCUGUUUUAAUACGACUAACAGAAGAACUGGCAAGAUCUUAUCAGCAUGGACAGCGGGGAAAGGGAGGCAAAGGUUUUGUCUUUAAGCUUGAAAGUCGUCCUUCAUCAAUUAACUUCAAUUUCCUUCCGAAUAACAAUAGAACAAUAAUUGAUCUUAUCUGGCUAAAUUCAAGUCAAUACGGGGCUUUUAUGGUGAUGCGCUUAGGACGAGGGGCCCCCAGCACACCAAGGAAAAGCCUCAACGCUGUUUGAUCUACGUCAUCUAGACCGUGCUGGGUGCGCUUGAUUGAACGAAGGCGAGAGUAUUCGGGCCGUAAAACGUAUUUUCCCAUUGGCAACAAUGAUGACUUUCGCUGGAAUGUUGAAAUUAAUGUUGACAAAACAUCAUCAAAUAGCACACACUAACCCCAUCUUGCCUCCAGGACCGUCUUGUCGCAAAGAAAAGCCAAAGAAAAUGAAGAGAGAAAUAUGCUUCUAAUUGGUCUCCACUAUAUCAAAGAAAAAAUUCUCUGACACCCGAUACCCAUAUACAUAGACCGUGCCUCACUCGGGCGCCCGGGAACCACUUCACAACUAUUAGUAGCGACAAGAGACAUUUUACAUACAAAAGACACAUAAAAGAAAACGCACAGACGAACCGAGGGGAGUUUGCUAGAAAAACAAGCUUCGGUAUUAUAGACUUGUCAUUCUACAUUUGUCAAAUUAGAAACGAGAACUGCAGCGAUACCCAUACUGUGAUAGAAAAGCUGCAUGGUUUGGAAUAAGUCAAUGUAAUAUCAUAAUGUGAACUUCAGAUCUUACAAGCAAGAUCUGGGAUGUUUCACGAUGGUAUCGUGGAGGAGGAAUCUGAUAAAUGAAUAUUAAACCGUCUGAUAAAAAGCAAAAAGUCCCUGCUUCCAGACUUCAUAAUGGGCCUAACGUCUCCGCUAUUGUUUUUGGCGUGGGUUUGGGUUUGUUUUUUGUUUUUUUGCAAUUUUUCUCGACGGUUCUCCUGACCAAUUCCUGAUUAGUUGGUCACUUUGAAUCUGAUCCAGAAUUAAGUAAAUGGAUCAUCAAAGAAAAAAUGGCUAGAUCCCCUUUUAGACAAGAAAAUGAAUAUAUCUGUGGAGGACACAAUGGGGGAUAUCUUUCAUAUUUAUAUGUGCAUAUCGCAAUUGGGAGUCUUUUAAAAUGUGAACCAUUACGUGCACAUCCUAGACAAAUCCAAUUUUAUUCUGCAUGUACAUGAUAUGGUUAUAUUGUUUGAAUAUAUAAACAUUCUGGAGAGGUGUAAAUAUGUAUCCUCACAAUACUUAGCAUUACAUAGAAUAUGUUCAAGUAAUAAAUCCAAUACUAGUCUCACGUAAUAAAUUGAACAAUGUUGUAGAUACACUCAAUAUACAAGUAGCACCGCUCUCCUUAACUUCGUUUCACUUUUUGCUUUAACAUGUUUCGUGGCAGGUGUCGUUGAAGAGGAUUUACGCAUGUGUAUAGAUAAAUAGUUUUAAAUGAAUGUGAAUUAGUAUUUUUGAUAUUUUUAGUGUGGUGAGCUUGAUAAUAAAUGUAAUUCAAAUAUUGAAUUGAAAAGUUCCAGCAUAUCAUGAUUCCUUUAAAGUAUUUUGUUUUGGUAAGUUUAAAUUAUCUUUAAAACAUUUUCCCCUCCCACACUUGCCGGCUCUACCAUUCCUUAUUUUGCAUUAGAAUUUGUAAAUCAUUACUUGAAUUCAAAUGAACCACGACAACAAAUCUUAUUGUAGAAGUCAGUUAUUUUUAUUUCAAUGUUAUAUUAGUAAAUGCAUUAAAUUCCCUUAUAGAAAAGGGGAGGCAUACACUUGAUAAGUUUCUGUUUUCAAGGAAUAGAUGAAUUUCAUGAAGUAUACAUAAAAUUGCCCUUGUAAAUUUUCAGUUAAAAAUAAAUACCCACUGGUGCCAAAUUCUCUAAGCAUAAACAUACAAAAGAGACGGUUUAACUCUAUUAUUUAUAAAUCUUUCUUUAAUACAGUUCAUUUAUGGAAGAAAAGGACAUGCGAAUUUGGAAAGUUCUUGAUUCUUUCGGGGAAAAUGAGGGAGGAAACAUCUACUAAGAGCAUUGUGAAGUGAAUCAAACUGUUGUCUUCAAGAAUGCUGGUAUCAAACGAUGAUGAACAUUACUCACCUGCAACAGGAAUGUUUAUCAUCCAUUAUAAACUUCCUGAAAGAUGAUGAAAACGAGGACCAAACCGAUGAUGAAACGAGGACCAAACCGAUGAUGAAAACGAGGACCAAAAAGGGUGAUAAAAACGAGGACAAGACCGGUGGUCAAAACAAAGACCAAAACAAUGAUGAAAACGAGGACCAACAAAUUGAUUUACUUCGAUUACAAUGAUAUAUUGUGUAAAAUAUAUAAAUGUGAUGCAUGCUUUAUUUUCAGUUGAACCAUAAUUAUGAUUUCUUAAUUGAUAUUCUUGUGAAUGAGAAAGUGAAUGUUAGAAAAAUAUUCUUUGGAAUGAAAUUUGACACGGUCUAAAUAAUGAAAUACUUGCGGAAACCAAACCACCAAAAGUAAUGAACAGCUGAAAAGUAUAUGGGCAUGCUCUGUUUCAUUGAAAGAACAUAACGAUUGAGCUGACGAGAUCAACUUCUAAUAUUUUUAGACAUUCGGGUUUGAUUUUGGCAAGUGUUUCAAGAUUUUUACGAUUACAGAAUUGAUCUUAGAUAUUCAUGAUGGCACCUUUUCCAAAGAUGUGACAAAUGUAACGAACGAAAACUAAUCUCUGAAUUCUUAUUAUAUAUGAUGGAUGUCAUAUAUCGUCGGUUCAUAUUUGUAUUGGAAUUUUAUUCACAUGAAUGAGUUGUAUUGAAUACACACUGCAACAUUUCAGAAAUGUGCGAUAGCUCUGUAUCAAUAAAACAAUCUUUAUAAAUU